CCUCCUGUUACCCAGAGCUGUUUUUUCCUGAACCAAGAAGCCUCCGUAUAAAAACAAGAUUUUGCAUUGAUGAAGAAAUCACAGUGUGAAUGGGCAUUAUGGGAACUGUUUGCCUCCUGGGAUUAGGCGAGAAUUUUUCAUGAUACAAGGGAUGACACUAUCAAGCAACAUAAAUAUGCUCUUUUUACCCCUUCCUCAGAAAUUAUGCAAGAGGGAAAGACUUACAGACCUGGUCCUUCGACUCUCAGCUGGAUGUGAGGACUGUAUUAGAAGCAAGGAACGUGCACAGCAUAGCAGCCUUUCAGAGAUGGCUCAGCGUGGGACUGGGCUCUGGACCUCACAGUCCCCCUGAAUGGAAGAGGUGGUGUCUGGUUAUGAACAGCCCCUGCUGCUCAUUCUUCCCCCAGAGAUGGAUUUUCUAGGGCACAUCUCUGACCUCAAGUCCUGCUGGAUAUUUGGCUUUGCUCCCAAGAAGACAUCCCUUCGCUGGGACUUCUUUCUAAAGAGUUAUCAGUUUUUACACCAACCAACUGCUCUUAUAUUCGGAAUCACUGACCAGAUUCCCAGAGGACACAUUGCUCUUCAGGUAGAGUGGGAUAAGUACAGCAGCCCCAGCUGGUCUGGCUACAUCUAAGCAUGGUGAGGUAGCAGGUAUGACAUGGAAUGGCAUGGCAUACAUAGAAACAUUAUGACUGCUCUUUAAAACUGCAAAAUAAAUAAGAAAUAAGGAAAUUAUAUUGACUUCAAUUCAAUGCCUCUUUCAUGAACUGGGUCUCCUCUUUUGUAACUCAGUGUACUGUUUGUCCCUAUAAAUAUCUCAGUGAUCCAGUAUGAAAAAAGUGUACAUCAGAAACAGGAGGAUUUUGUCUUCCUUGUAGCUCACCAAGAAAGUAUGAUUUACAGCAAGAGCAGCAUUGUUAUACAUUUAAAGCAGGUAGUCCUUGUAGUCAGCAAGUUGUGAUGAUAAAAUACGAGUGCUGCCUCCAUAUUCUCUACGGUACCAGCAUGCAGGCUGCAGCCCCAGCCCAGGCAGCGAGGACAGCCAGCACGAGAGGCGGGAGGGAAGCAGCACAGGAUUGCCGUGUCUGUCCUUGGACUCGACCAGCGUUCACAACGCCUUUCGUAUUGUCCCCCCCCCCGUCCCUGAGAGCUGCUUGAAGUUUUAGGUGGGAGAUUUUGGGACUAAUAUGUCUGCAAUGAUAGCUCUGUGUGCUGGGUAUUAAUGCACUUGUUAUCAUAGAUACCUCAGGUUUUGUUGCUACCGUAAGUGCUCUUUCAAGAGGAGUUAUUGAUGUUUACAGGCAUGGCUUUGCAUACAGAGUUUCAGGCCAUUGAUGGUCUUCUCUAUUAGAAGAUAUAAAGGAUAACUUUGACCAACAACAAAUCAUAACACUUCCAUUCCUGCUUCAGCUCCAUGCUAAUUGUCUACAGUGUAGUAAGAGUCUCUGAUAACAGCUUUUCAACUACGUAAAAAUAUCUGUUCUGCUUUUUGGGAUCUGCUCACUGAAAAUAUCUGUCUUCCUGGAGACUCUUAGGAGAAACCUUAUAAUUUCACUAUUGCCUUAAUUUGUAUUUGAACAUCAAGCUAAGAAAGAUUAAACUACGCACAGCCUAUGCACAGAUUGCAGCUAUGGACAGAUUUAAGGCUGGAAAAAUAAUCACUGACUCGUUAAAAAGCUUAAUUCAACUCCAUUGAACAAGAGAACUGGGAUGUGUCGUUUCUUUCAGGAGCUCCUUUCCAAGCUCCCAUGCAGAUAAGGCAAUUUGCUCUCACACUGGAGCACAGGUGAAAAUUUGUUCUUGCCUGUAGCAGCUGGAUAUGAGCACUGUAUUACAAGGCCUGUAUUGAAAGUGUUCACACAGCAGAACUCGUCUUGGAGGGAGGUUUCAGAGAGGGCUGGGCAGGCAAACUGCAGAAAACUAAAAUAAAGAGAAGAACACUCAGCUAGAAAUUUCUGUUUAACACUUUCUGAGUGCUGGAUUACUAUAAAGGUCAGACUCUAAAGGAGGAACCUUUCCUCUGGAAAGAAGGCCUGAUCUUUCAGGGCAAAGACACAGAACUGGGCAGUAGUGCGCCCGGAGGGAGCCUGGAGCAGGACAGCAGGACAAGGGAAAUCUGUCCCUCCCAGUGAGCCUACUGGUGCAUGGCACAGCAGUGUCACUCUUGUCUAGCAACCAUCCGAUGGACUAAUGCCUACAGUGGCGCUUAAAACACUGUCUCUUCAAAAGCUCUCAUUUCUUAGCUUGCACUCUGGACUGUUUUUAUUUAGGGCUAUUGAGAAAGAUGAAGAAAAUGCAUUAAAUACUUAAAACUUACUAAGUUGCAAAGGAAAAUAACAUUGCUAAACCACAUUUUCCUUGUUUUCUCCCACCUGUGUUUGUCUUGCCUGUUUUGACUGUAGGUGUCUUUGGAGCAAGUCCCACUGCUAAUCUGUGUUGACAUUUCCUUGUAAAAAUGAACUUUCUUUUCCACUGGAACUUAGACACUUUCUUUACUACACACAGCUAGGAAUAUAAAAGAGAAAGCAUGUUCACACAACUUUUGGUCUAGUUAGCAUUACACAGGAAUUUGAUAGAUCAAGGCAAAUUCAAUAUUCUUCCUUCGGUUUUUUAGUCUGUUAGAGUACAGAUGCUGCAAUGUGAGCAGGCAUCAGUGUCACACGGUGGAAACUUCAAGAUGAGAGGCUGUAAAGAUAAACUCUAUCUUGGCAGAGAAGGUCUGAAGGAAUUUUCAUUCCCUCAGAUAUUCUAGGAAAAGUGGGAUUCAUCCCACCUGACUCUUAGCACUGAUGUUAUAGACAUGCACCUCCGGCUAUGUAGGCACCUUUUGGAGUUAAAGGAAGGAAAUAGGCAUUUCAACAGUACAGCUUAUUGCCCCUGAUUUUGACAUCUACCUUAGGAACUGUGAUUUGGAAUUUCUUUUCUUCUUACAAGGUGGGCCUAGACACCUAGUUCAGAUGUAGAUGCUGAGACUGGGAAGGUCUAAAGCUGAACAGAGAAGUCUCACUUCAGCAAUGUACGUACCAGCCCCUGUAUAGUUUGGAAAAACAUAUGUAGGUUGUGGGAGGGAACGCUUUGGAAGAGAAACCAUUAUAUCAAUCUAUAUGUCCACUGUGGGUAUGCUACAUAUGUAGCUGUGCAAUAAGCGAUACUGUUAAUAAAGAGAAGGUUUAUUCCUACUGACAUGGAAUCCAUAUGGUACAUGAAUAUGAUGCCAGUGAGAUCCACAGGACACGAGGAAAUGUGAUUAACUGCUAAACACAAUAACCUGGAAAAAGAGCAAAAGAGCUGCACAAUCCCCUCUCCAGAAAUUAUCUUGGCAUUGUUCUAAUGACCCCUCCGAUAUUUCACAGACCUUGAUGACACCCGUGAUCUCUUGUACUCUCCCUCUCUCCAUGGCGUGUUAUGGUUGUUGGUCUUCUGCUAUUAUAUCUGCAAGAUGCUGCAAGGUGGUGAAAAACUCUUUCAGCCUGAGUGAAGCAGAUGUUCUGUUGAUCAUUCUGGGUGAGCUGUUGAUCGCAGGGGUGGGUGUUUGCUCUUGGAAAAGGCUGGACAGAAUUAUACUGGUGAUUCCUUUGAUGUUGCUAGCUCCUGAUGUUCCUAGCUCCUGGAAGAGAGGACAGAUACCAACAAAAUAUUGCCCUCAACAUCCAGCAUAAAUGUUGUUACAGGCAGUGCUCACACCAGGAAAAAACUCAGCCUAUGAACAGCAGGAAAGGGAUAAAUAACCAUGUAAUGUCUGAUUGUGUCAGGUCCCAGAAGGGGAAAAAAUCAGCAAUGCUUGCAGAGUCUAAAGGCAUGGAGCUGCCCAGUGGAGAGAAGGCUUUCUACCACCAUGCUGUGGACAGGUUUGGGGACUCAAUUACCAAGCACGGCAGAAGAAAGAAACUAGCCAUUUGCAGCUAUGCUAUUAGACUGGUGACCAAUUAUAUCCCAUCUAGAUUGUAUAACAGCUGAAAGAUAUUUCCAGUAACACUGGUAAGUCAUGAUAUUAGGCAGAAGAUGUAUGACCAAGUGCAGGCAACAUACAGUCUAAACCAUUUUGACACGAGUGGGAAAUGCACAUUGCUGAAGAGAAACCAAUAAACAUAAGCCGUUAUCACUUGA